rnacentral:rRNA from 1 species
UGCCAGCAGCCGCGGUAAUACGGAGGAUGCAAGCGUUAUCCGGAUUUAUUAGGUUUAAAGGGUUCGUAGGCGGAUGAUUAAGUCAGUGGUGAAAUCCUACAGCUUAACUGUAGAACUGCCAUUGAUACUGGUUAUCUUGAGUUUAGUUGAGGUAGGCGGAAUGUGUAGUGUAGCGGUGAAAUGCUUAGAUAUUACACAGAACACCGAUUGCGAAGGCAGCUUACUAAGCUAACACUGACGCUAAGGAACGAAAGCGUGGGGAGCGAACAGGAUUAGAUA